CCCGGGCAGGUGGAGGUCGUUAGCCGUGGUAGGCAAUCUGCCUAGGAGAGCAAACUCUAUACAAACCCGGGCAGGUGAGGCUCGUUAGCCGUGGUAGGCAAUUCACCUAGGAGAGCAAACUCUAUACAAACCCGGGCAGGUGGAGGUCGUUAGCCGUGGGAGGCAAUUCACCUAGGAGAGCAAACUCUAAACAAACCCGGGCAGGUGGAGGUCGUUAGCCGUGGGAGGCAAUUCACCUAGGAGAGCAAACUCCGAACAAUAAACCCGGGCAGGUGGAGGUCGUUAGCCGUGGUAGGCAAUUCACCUAGGAGAGCAAACUCUAAACAAACCCGGGCAGGUGAGGCUCGUUAGCCGUGGUAGGCAAUUCACCUAGGAGAGCAAACUCUAAACAAACCCGGGCAGGUGAGGCUCGUUAGCCGUGGUAGGCAAUUCACCUAGGAGAGCAAACUCCGAACAACAAACCCGGGCAGGUGGAGCUCGUCAGCCGUGGUAGGCAAUCUGCCUAGGAGAGCAAACUCCGAACAAUAAACCCGGGCAGGUGGAGCUCGUCAGCCGUGGUAGGCAAUCUGCCUAGGAGAGCAAACUCCGAACAAUAAACCCGGGCAGGUGGAGGUCGUCAGCCGUGGUAGGCAAUCUGCCUAGGAGAGCAAACUCUAAAUAAACCCGGGCUUGUGGUGCUCGUUAUACUGUCGUAGACAAUCCACGCGAUGGGAACACCAAAGAAAAGGAAAAUAAAAAAGAACACCAGAAAAAUGGAAAAUACAGAAACGAAACAUCAAGAAAAGAAACAAAAAGAUCAUCCACCUUUAGGCCCUAACAUCGCCAAAAUUAUGGGUGGGUCUCUUCUGGGGAGAAAGCGGCUCACCCAGACCAAAGAACAUCAACAAGGGAUGAUAUAGAAAAGAACACCAAAAAAAUAUGGAAAAAGAACAGAAAAAACAUCGAAAAAGAAAAGCAACAGAAAUAAAUGAGCAACAUCGAGAAAAGAGAAAUACAAAGAAACAUCAUCCACCUUUCGGCCCCACACAACAUCACCAAAAUUAUGGAUGGGUCUCUUCUGGGAGGAAAGCGGCUCAUCCAGACCAAGGAACAUCAACAAAAGGAUGAUGGGAAAAAAAUAACAACAAAAAACAUCAAAAAGAAGUAAAAAGAAAAAGAACAGGAAAACAUCGAAAAAGAAAACAAAUGCAAUAAAAGAAUGAAAAACACGACAUCAAGAAAAUAAAAUAAAACAAACAUCAUCCACCUUUCGGCCCUAACAACAUCUCCAAAAUUAUGGGUGGGUCUCUUCUGGGAGGAAAGCGGCUCACCCAGACCAACGAACAUCAACAAAAGGAUGAUAGGAAAAAAGAA